rnacentral:rRNA from 1 species
AGAGUUUGAUCAUGGCUCAGGAACAACGCUGGCGGCGUGCCUAAUGCAUGCAAGUCGAACGGGAGCUUCUUCGGAAGUCGACCGUGGCGGACGGGUGAGGAACACGUGGGGAACCCAUCCACGCGCGGGGGAUAACGGCGGGAAACCGCUGGUAAUACCGCAUACACUUCCAGCCUCAUAGGGGAUGGAAGCAAAGGUCGAGAGACCGUGCGUGGCGGGGCCUGCGGCCUAUCAGCUUGUUGGGGGGGUAGUGGCCCACCAAGGCGAUGACGGGUAGCUGGUCUGAGAGGACGAUCAGCCACACGGGGACUGAGACACGGCCCCGACUCCUACGGGAGGCAGCAGCAAGGAAUUUUCCGCAAUGGGCGCAAGCCUGACGGAGCGACGCCGCGUGGGGGAUGACGCAUUUCGGGGUGUAAACCGCUUUUCUUGGGGACGACGAGCGACGGUACCCGAGGAAGAAGGACCGGCUAACUACGUGCCAGCCGCCGCGGUAAUAC